UCAGGGAAUCAUCGAAUUUUUGAACGCACCUUGCGCUCCCUGGUAUUCCUAGGAGCAUGCCUGUUUGAGUGUUGAUAGCCUCUCCAAACCUUGGUUUUUUUAUUAAAUCAAGUGCUUUGGGUCCCUGGGCCUGUAGCGGCGACGUUACUUGCCUUAAAA
rnacentral:rRNA from 1 species